rnacentral:rRNA from 1 species
GCUGUCGCUUAUGGAUGAGCCCGCGUCUGAUUAGCUAGUUGGUGGGGCAAUGGCCUACCAAGGCGACGAUCAGUAGCCGGCCUGAGAGGGUGAACGGCCACACUGGGACUGAGACACGGCCCAGACUCCUACGGGAGGCAGCAGUGGGGAAUAUUGCGCAAUGGGGGAAACCCUGACGCAGCGACGCCGCGUGAGCGAUGAAGGCCUUAGGGUUGUAAAGCUCUGUUUUAAGGGACGAAUGUUAUGGGGAGUAAUAUGCCCUGUAAAUGACGGUACCUUAAGAGGAAGCCCCGGCUAACUACGUGCCAGCAGCCGCGGUAAGACGCGGGCGAGCGUUGUCCGGAAUUACUGGGCGUAAAGAGCACGUAGGCGGAGACUUAAGUCAGGUGUGAAAGACCGGGGCUCAACCCCGGGACGGCACUUGAAACUGGGUCCCUUGAGGGCAGGAGAGGGCAGUAGAAUUCCUGGUGUAGCGGUGAAAUGCGUAGAAAUCAGGAGGAAUACCAGUGGCGAAGGCGACUGCCUGGACUGACCCUGACGCUGAGGUGCGAAAGCGUGGGUAGCAAACAGGAUUAGAUACCCUGGUAGUCCACGCCGUAAACGAUGGAUACUAGGUGUGGGAGGUAUCGACCCCUUCCGUGCCGCAGCUAACGCAAUAAGUAUCCCGCCUGGGGAGUACGGUCGCAAGGCUGAAACUCAAAGGAAUUGACGGGGGCCCGCACAAGCGGUGGAGCAUGUGGUUUAAUUCGAUUCAACGCGAAGAACCUUACCAGGUCUUGACAUCCAACGAAUCCUUUCGAAAGUUAGGAGUGCCUUCGGGAGCGUUGAGACAGGUGGUGCAUGGUUGUCGUCAGCUCGUGUCGUGAGAUGUUGGGUUAAGUCCCGCAACGAGCGCAACCCUUGCCACUAGUUGCUAACAGGUAAUGCUGAGCACUCUAAUGGGACUGCCGGUGACAAGCCGGAGGAAGGUGGGGAUGACGUCAAAUCAUCAUGCCCUUUAUGACCUGGGCUACACACGUGCUACAAUGGAUGGUACAGAGAGCAGCAAGACGGUGACGUGGAGCGAAUCUCAAAAAGCCAUUCUCAGUUCGGAUUGUAGUCCGCAACUCGACUACAUGAAGUCGGAAUCGCUAGUAAUCGCGAAUCAGCAUGUCGCGGUGAAUGCGUUCCCGGGCCUUGUACACACCGCCCGUCACACCACGAAAGUCGGCAACACCCGAAGCCAGUGAGCUAACUAGCAAUAGAGGCAGCUGUCGAAGGUGGGGUUGGUAAUUGGGGUGAAGUCGU